UCUUGGCAGGGAACAGCUCCCUCAGAGGCCCAACCAGGAUGAGGCAGAGCCUUUCAAGAGAGAUAAAGGAAAACAGCCAGCCCCCGUGGGUUCACCUUUACAGCGUCUGAAACUAGGACAUGAGCCAAAUUUUCCAAAAUGCCAGAAGGGGUAACAAAGAAGUAACCAGUUGGAAGCUGAGGACUGGCAAAGUUCAAGACAA